rnacentral:pre_miRNA from 1 species
CUACAACAGUAGUAUUGAUGAUGAUGAUGAUGAUGAUGAUGGUGAUGUUCGUCAUAAUAACCAUCAUCAUCAUCAUCAUCAAAAUUAUGCUUAUAA